UAACGCGUGGGUAACCUGCCUCAUACAGGGGGAUAACAGUUAGAAAUGACUGCUAAUACCGCAUGAGCGCACAGUGCUGCAUGGCACAGUGUGAAAAACUCCGGUGGUAUGAGAUGGACCCGCGUCUGAUUAGCUAGUUGGUGGGGUAACGGCCUACCAAGGCGACGAUCAGUAGCCGGCCUGAGAGGGUGAACGGCCACAUUGGGACUGAGACACGGCCCAA
rnacentral:rRNA from 1 species